rnacentral:rRNA from 1 species
GACGAACGCUGGCGGCGUGCCUAAUACAUGCAAGUCGAACGCAGUGGGGACGGGUGAGUAACACGUUGGUAACCUCCCAUCAGAGGGGAUAACACUUGGAAACAGGUGCUAAACCGAUACUGAUGGAUGGACCCGCGGUUCAUUAGCUAGUUGGUGAGGUAACGGCUCACCAAGGCCACAAUGCAUAGCCGACAGGAGAGGAGGAUCAGCAACACUGGGACUGAUAAGCAGCCCCGAGUCCUACGGGAGGCAGCAGUAGGGAAGCUUCGGCAAUGAACGAAAGUCUGACCGAGGAACGCCGCGUGAGUAAGGAAGGUUUUCGGAUCGUAAAACUCUGUUGUAAGAGAAGCGAUAUCUAACCAGAAAGCCACAGCUAACUACGUGCCAGCAGCCGCGGUAAUAC